UACAGAGGUCCCAAGCGUUGUUCGGAUUCACUGGGCGUAAAGGGUGCGUAGGUGGUGGGGUAAGUCGGAUGUGAAAUCUCCGAGCUCAACUCGGAAAUGGCAUUGGAAACUACCCUGCUGGAGGGUCGGAGGGGGGACUGGAAUGCUUGGUGUAGCAGUGAAAUGCGUAGAUAUCAAGCGGAACACCAGUGGCGAAGGCGAGUCCCUGGACGACUCCUGACACUGAGGCACGAAAGCUAGGGGAGCAAACAGG
rnacentral:rRNA from 1 species